rnacentral:rRNA from 1 species
UCUGUAUUCUCAGUAUCUUCUGAAUCCGCCGCAAGGCAAAACAAAUGAAUCAAAACUUUCAACAACGGAUCUCUUGGUUCUGGCAUCGAUGAAGAACGCAGCGAAAUGCGA